rnacentral:lncRNA from 1 species
ACUUUCUCUUCCCUUGUCAUCCCAGGAUUUGGCACACAGCCAGUGUUUCCACAAUUUAAUUUCUUCUCCUUAUAUAGCACAUGGUUCUUGUGGCUGGAGUUAAGGCAGGGAGUUCCUUUUCUAAAUCAACACAAGAAACCAUGUUUGUUUUUAUGAAAAAGACACAUAUUUUCCAUUAUUUUUGUAAAAAUAGGAGGGAUGCUAGAAUAAGUAAGUAGCAGAGGUGAAAAAUAAAAAUUUCCAGACAACUCUCACAAGACUGUUUCUAUUUAUUUGGAAUUUUCCACAUGCACACGCAUGCACAGGCACACACACACACACACAGAAGACUACAGUUAUAAGAGAAACAGAGCUUUCAAUACCUGGAGCUGAAUUUGCAAGAAAUGGAUCUAUGCUGAGACACUUUAUUUGCAUGGAAAAUAUCUACUCAAAAUCUGGUAAUGUGUAUAAAUUCCAUGGCUAAUACAAUUUACCUGUUUUCACUCCUGUUUUCUUAGACAAGUAAGGCAGUGCCCACAGAAAGUUCUCGGGCUCCUCGUCCUUAAUGAGAACAUGUUGUUGCUUCAACUACAGACUGGAGGUGCCAACACUGCAUUUUUAUACGAAUAGGAGGUGACAAGACACACGUGCCGUUAACCUUUUAUUUUACUGCACAUGCACUUUUUUACCCCAAAAAUUUGCCUAACAGAGCUUCAUUCUGCUGAGGUCUUGGAAGGCAUGCAUAGAACCUGACUCAUAGCAGGCUGUGAUUUAAAUGGUUGCUGAACAAAUAAAUAAGACAAUUAAUUAAAGGUGGCCACGAAAAGGUGACUUUGCCAAAAUCUUGUACCUUCCAUGGGCUGGAUCCCAGAUGGGAAGGGUUCUCCUUUCACGCUCUGUCUGCAAAGCCCCGUUCUAUUUAUUGCUGUGGCUUUUUGGCAGGCUCCUUUCCCUCGGCCCUGUAUGCUCCAUGCCGUGUGUUAGCAUAUUUUCCUGGAACAAAACUCAAGGAAAUACCGUUUCUAAAAAUACGCUUUAUGAGGUUUUCAGACUACAAUCCUUCUUUCUAACAGUUCAUUCACUGAGGGAUCCUAAGAUAUGACAUUCAUAGCCCCCUCCCCCCACAAAAAAAAAGAUGAAAAAAAAGGAGAGAAAGAGAGAAAGAAAGAAACAAAACAAAAUAGCCAAUCUGUUUUCAUCUAUGCAACACAUCUAACAAUUAUUUUCCCAAAAUAGGUAAGCUGUUCUAUGCCUGGGAAAUUUUAUUUUUGUGGGAUUAUGGCCACAGGGGCUCAGUUCUUACUAAAAUUAAUAACUAAAACAUCUUCUUGCUGAUGACUCAUACCAGGCACUUCUGUUUCCACAUAUUAAUAAAUAUAGCAGGUAUUAUUUGUUGAUUAGAGUUUAUAAAUGAGAAACUUGAACCUUUGACCUUUGAAGGAAUAUGACUAGUAAUGUGUUACUUUGGGAUAUCUCUCUCCUCACACUCUCCUCUCUUCUCUCUUCCUCCUUCCUCUUCCCCUCUUCCCCCCUUUUAUUGUAAAUCAUGAAGCUUUUGAGAUAUAAUUAUUUUUAUUUUCUGAUAUGGUAAAACUUAAUACUUACAGAAGAAAGUGAGAAGACAUUUACAGUGACAGUUAUAUAUUACCAGGAUAUAUUUUUGUAGCCCUUCCAUACAUACAUACAUGAAUUUAUAUGAGGACAUAUUUCAGGCUAAGUUGUGGACCUCAUGAUGUUUCUGUACAUCUCCUGUUACAUGUAUAUAACAGCUAGAAUUCAAAUUUAGCAUAUAAUGAAAAGUGCACAGUUCUCAAGUGUAUAUUUCCUUGAGUUCUGACAAGCUGAUGUGCCUAUGUCACCAAAAUCUAUAUAUAACCCU